rnacentral:rRNA from 1 species
AGUGAACGCUGGCGGUAGGCCUAACACAUGCAAGUCGAACGGCAGCACAGUAAGAGCUUGCUCUUACGGGUGGCGAGUGGCGGACGGGUGCGGAAUACAUCGGAAUCUACUUUUUCGUGGGGGAUAACGUAGGGAAACUUACGCUAAUACCGCAUACGACCUACGGGUGAAAGCAGGGGAUCUUCGGACCUUGCGCGAUUGAAUGAGCCGAUGUCGGAUUAGCUAGUUGGCGGGGUAAAGGCCCACAAAGGCGACGAUCCGUAGCUGGUCUGAGAGGAUGAUCAGCCACACUGGAACUGAGACACAGUCCAGACUCCUACGGGAGGCAGCAGUGGGGAAGAUUGGACAAUGGGCGCAAGCCUGAUCCAGCCAUACCGCGUGGGUGAAGAAGGCCUUCGGGUUGUAAAGCCCUUUUGUUGGGAAAGAAAAGCAGCAGGUUAAUACCCCGCUGUUCUGACGGUACCCAAAGAAUAAGCACCGGCUAACUUCGUG